rnacentral:rRNA from 1 species
AUUGAACGCUGGCGGCAUGCCUAACACAUGCAAGUCGAACGGGGCAGCAAUGCCUAGUGGCGGACGGGUGAGGAAUACGUAGGAAUCUGCCCUUAAGUGGGGGAUAACCAGGGGAAACCCUGACUAAUACCGCAUGAUCUCUUCGGAGCAAAGAGGGGGACCGCAAGGCCUCUCGCUUCUGGAUGAGCCUACGUCUGAUUAGCUAGUUGGUAGGGUAAAGGCCUACCAAGGCGACGAUCAGUAACUGGUCUGAGAGGAUGAUCAGUCACACCGGAACUGGGACACGGUCCGGACUCCUACGGGAGGCAGCAGUGGGGAAUAUUGGACAAUGGGCGCAAGCCUGAUCCAGCAAUGCCGCGUGUGUGAAGAAGGCCUUCGGGCUGUAAAGCCCUUUUGUCCGGGAAGAAACGGUUUCACCUAAUACGUGAGACUACUGACGGUACCGGAAGAAUAAGGACCGGCUAACUACGUGCCAGCAGCCGCGGUAAAAC